GAGUAACGCGUAGGUAACCUGCCUGGUAGCGGGGGAUAACUAUUGGAAACGAUAGCUAAUACCGCAUAAUAGUAGUUGUUGCAUGACAACUGUUUGAAAGGUGCAAUUGCAUCACUACCAGAUGGACCUGCGUUGUAUUAGCUAGUUGGUGGGGUAACGGCUCACCAAGGCGACGAUACAUAGCCGACCUGAGAGGGUGAUCGGCCACACUGGGACUGAGACACGGCCCAGACUCCUACGGGAGGCAGCAGUAGGGAAUCUUCGGCAAUGGACGGAAGUCUGACCGAGCAACGCCGCGUGAGUGAAGAAGGUUUUCGGAUCGUAAAGCUCUGUUGUAAGAGAAGAACGAGUGUGAGAGUGGAAAGUUCACACUGUGACGGUAUCUUACCAGAAAGGGACGGCUAACUACGUGCCAGCAGCCGCGGUAAUACGUAGGUCCCGAGCGUUGUCCGGAUUUAUUGGGCGUAAAGCGAGCGCAGGCGGUUAGAUAAGUCUGAAGUUAAAGGCUGUGGCUUAACCAUAGUACGCUUUGGAAACUGUUUAACUUGAGUGCAAGAGGGGAGAGUGGAAUUCCAUGUGUAGCGGUGAAAUGCGUAGAUAUAUGGAGGAACACCGGUGGCGAAAGCGGCUCUCUGGCUUGUAACUGACGCUGAGGCUCGAAAGCGUGNNGAGCAAACAGGAUUAGAUACCCUGGUAGUCCACGCCGUAAACGAUGAGUGCUAGGUGUUAGACCCUUUCCGGGGUUUAGUGCCGUAGCUAACGCAUU
rnacentral:rRNA from 1 species